GUGCUCACUUCCGCAGCACAUAUACUAAAAUUGGAACGAUUCAGAGAAGGUAAGCAGGGCCCCUGCGCAAGGAUGACAUGCAAAUAUGUGAAGUGUUCCAUAUUUUU
ensembl:snRNA U6 U6 spliceosomal RNA